AGAAACUGCGACGUCUGUGCCGGCCCGAGUAGGAGGAGGAGGUUGGAAGCAUUAUCCCCCAAUUCAUUCCUCUUAUGCUGCUACUUUCAUGGAUAAUACCGCAAUUGCAUCGCCAUUCCGCGAUUGAUUGAUGCUGUCCCCAGCUCAGAUAUAGCAAUUUUGUUCCUUGAGUAUGUUGCCGUGUUUUACCUCUGUUUCGUCAUAUCCUUAUUGUGGUGUCAAUGCGUGCUGAGCCUUGCGUUUGCUUUAGCAGAGUGUGAGUUUCGGAUGUGAGCGUGGUGAACGUCGCAGCGUUUUGAGUAGACGCGGAGUUUGUUUCCGAGGAAGUGUAAUUUUAGGCCUUACGUGCCUUUUUAGGCCUAUUAGUGAGGUGGGUUUGUGGGUUUUUGGGAUCUCGGGUCCUAGGAUGAGGUUGUGGUAGUUGAGAUAGCUCUGGACCUAUUCGUAAUUUUCUUCCCUUAACCAAGGAUAGUGGCGUUAAGGUGGGAUCAGGAUAUGUACCUUUUCUGAAUGAAGACGUAAUUCUUGAAUUUGGAGAGGAAGAUUGUAGCUUGAUGUACCCGCUUUUGUGAAGGCUUGGGAAGCCGUGCUCUCGUGACGACAUAAUUCCAUAGUUCGAUUCCAUAGUUGUAUUGUUGCACGGCACUCUGCCUUAUUGAAUUGGAGCCACUGAGGAGGUGAAUUCACAGCGUUGAGCCAUGGGAUCAUAAUUAUCGCAAUGUAUCAGCAUUCCAUGGCGUUUGCGGCUGCAACGUCACCUGGUGUUGCGGGGCCAAUAAGGUGCAAUAGUGAAACCUCUCAAAGUAACAGGAAAGAGAUCAAAUCUUUCCUAAUUCAAUGUUCUAUUUCUCAAAUCCAGCUGAAGCACCGCAGAAGUGUUACUCCAUACUUGCAAUGUUGCCCCCUCUUUGCUGGACGUAUGCAUAGCAACAUUGCACAGCGCAGGGGGAAAUAUGGAAGAUUUGUGGUUGCAUCCUAUGCUAAGGACAUUCUCUUUAGUAAGCGAUCGUCAUCAGCACCUCAAGUUGGGAUUGCUGAGCUGACUGGUAUUUUGGGAAUCCCAACAUGCCCACAAGGACCCUCACGAUUCACAAAUUUAGAGUCACUGAGGUGGGCCGCUGCAAUUCUCAGAUCUGAGGUAUCAGAGAGAGGAUCAAGUGUGAGGACAUACGCCGGACGUAACAAGAAGUGGCGCAAUCUAGACAAAAAAGGACGUUUAGAAGGAAACAGCCGAACUAGAGGCAAUGGCAAUGCCAACCCUGGAAAGUCCAAAUCAACGCAGAGUGGUGACACUGACGACGGAACCGAGAAUGCUUCUAGGGUUAAACCCAAGAAAGGUCCAAAGCCCAAAGAGCGAGUUUCUUGGGCUGGUCAGGACAUGCUGUUGCUCAACACUAACGAGAGGUUCAAAGUUGGGAAAGAGGUCACACCUUGGGCGUCAGUUCCAGGUGAAAGGAUGCCGGAUGACUAUUACAAGUACGGGCCUUUCGGUCCUCAUGCUUGGAAGGGAGUUUGCGUUGGAACUCCUAAGCAAGGUACACUUUGCGACCAGCUCGUUGUUUUCUUCUCUAGCGUAAGAGACGAAGAAGAGCAUGAACUGGGAGACAUUCAAGAUGCCAUGGUAGGGUAUGGGAAACGGGUUGAUCAAAUGGACGCCAGCGUUGGGAUACAGUAUUACUUCGUAUUUGUGCGUCAGGUUCAAAAGCUGAAGGAUUUGCCACCAUGGGAGGAAUGGACAUUGGUUGCGCAAGUCGCUAUUGAAUCUGGAGAAGUUCUGGAUAAAUGGACACUGGGAUUUGGUCUUCACCCUAAACUUCGAAAAAACCUCACAGAAUGUGUGGCAUGGUAUCGUCCCGAUCUUAUCUAUGUCAAAAGGCCUGCGUACCAAGUAAGAUUUGAGCCGCAGAAUGAGUUUUUGGAAGGGCUGCUUACAUUACUGAAUCCAGAUGGUGAGGACUUCUAUUUUCAGAGGCUUUGCAAGUUGCUUGGAGUGGAUGUUAGCGAGACGGCAGAUCAAGCGAGUGUCGCAUUUGAUGGCUUGAGUGAGAACAGGAAACUUGAGUGCGUAGAACAUGUGCUUACCGCCAAUUCAGUUACGCUCCUGGGCCCUUACACUAUCCAAGCUAUGAAGCAAGAUCAGCAGCGAGGGGCAGUGGGUUUCGACGAGAGCAUUGGCCGCGAGGAGGGGGAAAGUAAUGAAACUGACGAAGCUGAAGGAGAUUGGAGCGAGGAUGCAGACGAGGAUGAGGACGAGGAAGAUGACGAGGAAGAAUUUGAAUCUGAAAUGGAAGCAUUUAAUGGCCAGUUCGGAGAAGAUUUCGACUUCGAUGAACAAGGUGAUAGUCAAUCGGAUGGGAAUGAGUGGGAAAAAGAAGAGGCUAAGUCAUUAGCUGCUAUGCAAAGAUCUUCUGAUGCAGAGACUGUCGAUGUGGACGAUGAGGGUUGGGAUGAACAAGCUGUUAAGGCCUACUCUGAGAUUGGCAUUACGACCCAGAAAGGACAUCGAAUAGCCGAGGAAACGGCAACACAAAAGGAUGAUGAGACCUUUCUUGAUGCAGCUGUUCGACCUUUCAAUUUCUCGAAUCUGAUCCAGGAGAUAUUUAUCAUCCGGGAAGCGUUACUUGAGUAUCCAGAAUUACGGCACUGAACCCAAGGAGAACUUGAACAGCUGCGACUUGCUGCAAGCUAUACCUGCCUGCAUUGUCCAAGCCCACGAGUGCAUCCAUACUCCCAUUUUGAAGAAAAACACUGAUCGAUGAGCGAGUCCAAUCGAAUGAAUUUUCAAGACAUGUGGCUCAGCAGUGAGUCCACCGAAGGAUUUAUAAAGAAAUAGUGGAUUGCAUACUCAGUAUCAGUAAUGCAUCCAGAUGGCAUUUCUUUUAUCAUGAACGCUUCACCAUGGCGGUACAUUAGUUCCUGACCUGAAAGAAGUUACACUCACCGAAUGCACUAAACACAGAAUGUUCUGUCUGUCUAAUAUCGACCAGAUGAAGGUGGUUGUCUCUGCGCAAUCCAUCUUCGUGUCAGUUUCAAACGUUUUUUACAUAACUAAACGAGUAAUUUUCAAUGACUAA